GCUGCAAAUGGGCAUGGGAACCAAGGGUUAAUAUGGGGUGCCCUUUUUAUUCAGUUCAACUUUCUCUGGCCACGUGCUGUACCAGCCAAUGCACACAGCCUUCUGAAGCCACACCCCCAGGAAUGACAGUUAGGUCAGUUGGAAGGAGGAAGUCCUCCUUUCUGAAGCCACGCCCACAGCAAUGACAGUUAGUUCAGUUGGAAGGAGGAAUCAGGAGGAUGGACUGCUGGUUGUGUGGUCUCGCUAGUAUCCUGUAGCAUGUACCCCAAUAAUGGCAGGAAGCUACUGCUGCUAGUAAAGGCUCGUUCAUUCCAGA